rnacentral:rRNA from 1 species
CUUACCAUGCAGUCGAACGGUGAUGGGGAGCUUGCUCCUCUGAUCAGUGGCGAACGGGUGAGUAACACGUGAGCAAUCUGCCCUUGACUCUGGGAUAAGCGUUGGAAACGACGUCUAAUACCGGAUACGACCUUGGAAGGCAUCUUUCUUGGUGGAAAGAAUUUUGGUCAAGGAUGAGCUCGCGGCCUAUCAGCUAGUUGGUGAGGUAAUGGCUCACCAAGGCGACGACGGGUAGCCGGCCUGAGAGGGUGACCGGCCACACUGGGACUGAGACACGGCCCAGACUCCUACGGGAGGCAGCAGUGGGGAAUAUUGCACAAUGGGCGAAAGCCUGAUGCAGCAACGCCGCGUGAGGGACGACGGCCUUCGGGUUGUAAACCUCUUUUAGUAGGGAAGAAGCGUAAAAGUGACGGUACCUGCAGAAAAAGCACCGGCUAACUACGUGCCAGCAGCCGCGGUAAUACGUAGGGUGCAAGCGUUGUCCGGAAUUAUUGGGCGUAAAGAGCUCGUAGGCGGUUUGUCGCGUCUGCUGUGAAAACCCGAGGCUCAACCUCGGGCCUGCAGUGGGUACGGGCAGACUAGAGUGCGGUAGGGGAGAUUGGAAUUCCUGGUGUAGCGGUGGAAUGCGCAGAUAUCAGGAGGAACACCAAUGGCGAAGGCAGAUCUCUGGGCCGUAACUGACGCUGAGGAGCGAAAGCAUGGGGAGCGAACAGGAUUAGAUACCCUGGUAGUCCAUGCCGUAAACGUUGGGAACUAGAUGUGGGGACCAUUCCACGGUCUCCGUGUCGCAGCUAACGCAUUAAGUUCCCCGCCUGGGGAGUACGGCCGCAGGCUAAUCAA